CCUACGGGUGGCUGCAGUCGAGAAUCAUUCACAAUGGGGGAAACCCUGAUGGUGCGACGCCGCGUGGGGGAAUGAAGGUCUUCGGAUUGUAAACCCCUGUCAUGUGGGAGCAAAUUAAAAAGAUAGUACCACAAGAGGAAGAGACGGCUAACUCUGUGCCAGCAGCCGCGGUAAUACAGAGGUCUCAAGCGUUGUUCGGAAUCACUGGGCGUAAAGCGUGCGUAGGCUGUUUCGUAAGUCGUGUGUGAAAGGCGCGGGCUCAACCCGCGGACGGCACAUGAUACUGCGAGACUAGAGUAAAGGGGGGGGAAACGGAAAUCUCGGUGGAGCAGGGAAAGGCGUAGAUAUCGAGGGGAACACUCGGGGGGAAGGCGGGUUCCUGGACAUUAACUGACGCUGAGGCAAGAAGGCCAGGGGAGCGAAAGGGAAUAGAUACCCCUGUAGUC
rnacentral:rRNA from 1 species